rnacentral:rRNA from 1 species
AUGGUGGAAGAUGCUGGACGAUCAUGGGCAAAUGGACAAGAGCAUUUCCACUGGCUGUGGGAAAAUAGGGAAUGUUGGGUCCCGGUGUACUACAUGCACGACUUCUUCCCAUUCUUGCAGACAAUGACAAGGAGCGAGGGAUUCAACGCUGUGUUGAAGAAGUACGCCAACCCAAAUAACUCGCUAGUGGAAUUUGCAAAACAGUACACUGCAAUACAGCAGAAGGUGAUGGUGAGCGUGUCAAAAGAGCACCUGGAAACAUUGUACAAAGAGGUGGAAACAUACUCCUUCAACCCACUUGAGUUACAGGUGCAGGGCCUCUACACGCAUAAUAUUUUCACCAAAUUCCAGAUGGAGAUGAAGGUGAAAACUGGCUACAGAUGUGACACAUUGCAAGAUGGGUCAUUCAAGGUUGGCUCAGUCAGAGGAAUCAUACCAAAAUAUGGGGACAUGGACUACCAUGUGCAAGCAAACAAGGAUGAAGGGGCAUAUUCAUGCACUUGCUGCAAGUUUGAGCGAGAUGUUAGUAAGAGCAUGCCAGAGGAGGGAAAAAACGUCAUGCGAUAUACAUCAAUACUAAGGGACUUCAAGGCAACAGCCAAGGAUGCUUGCCACACAGAUGAUGGGGCCAGGGUGGCCAAGAAGCACCUAUAUGCUUUCAAGGAAGAAAUGGACGCGCUAACAAAAAGCCAACGUAAGAAGGCCAGAAAGGACAAGGAAGAAGCUAGAGGAUCGUUCCAAUCACAACAAGAUCCAUGUUCUAUUCCAGUGGUCGCAACGAGUGAAGCUGUCCAUGCCGAACAGCAAACAAGCAUACCUAACAUGGACAACCCAAACACGGGACAAACAAGCAUCCCUGUGACAAUACAAGCUAGCGCCAACAUGCCAGCCGCUGCAUCCCAUUCCUCGAACACAAAAACGAUACUAGACCCUCCGAAGACUGUCACGAAAGGACGACCGAAAACAAAGAAGCAUCAGCAUCCCUUUGACAUUGCAAAACCAGCAAAACAAAGAAAGUGCAGUGUUUGCGGCAGCGUGCACCACGACAAGCGCAGGUGCACGUCACCUCUAGCAAGAUGA